rnacentral:rRNA from 1 species
UAGUCCACGCCGUAAACAAUGGACACUCGGUGUUGGUUCUCUCAACCGGAAUCAGUGCCUAAGCUAACGCGAUAAGUGUCCCGCCUGGGGAGUACGGUCGCAAGAUUAAAACUCAAAGGAAUAGACGGGGACCCACACAAGCGGUGGAGCAUCUGGUUUAAUUCGAUAAUAAGCGAGGAACCUUACCUAGGCUUGACAUCCCGAGAAUCCACUGGAAACAGAGGAGUGCCUUCUGGAACUCGGUGACAGGUGCUGCAUGGUUGUCGUCAGCUCGUGCCUUGAGGUGUUCGGUUAAGUCCGUGAACGAGCGCAACCCUUAUCGUAUGUUGUAUUUUUUCAUUACGAGACUGCCGGCUUCAAGUCGGAGGAAGGUAAGGAUGACGUCAAAUCAGCAUGGGCCCUUAUGCCUAGGGGCUACACAGGGUGCUACAAUGGGGUGGUACAACGGGGGCAGCGAAGCAGUAAUGUGGAGCCAAUCCCUAUAAAGCCAUCCUAAGUUCGGGAUUGA